rnacentral:lncRNA from 1 species
AAUCGAUAGUGUAACUCCCGCUCCUAUGGAUAUCUAAUCUGCAGGCAAAAAUUAUUAAAUUUGACAUUUCAAGCUGAAAAACGUUUUUGAAUUCAGAGCAUAAGAAAACAGUGCUGUACAUAUCAGGCAGAUCCUGAGGAACAAUGAUACGAUAGGUGAAAACUCGGACAGCGAUUUUUCCAGUUACCAUAGAAGACUGCAAAGCGGUUUCAAGCGGAGACAUACUCGAGUUCCCUGGGGAGAACUCCAAUGAACACGCGGCUUCUUCGUAUAGUAAGCCGGAACUGACUGGCCCGCUGAGGAGCCCAGCCGGAAGGUUAAGCCCCCGUACCGUCAGACUUUUCCAAGAGGAAAAGCUACGCCUGGUCAGAGCACACCGACAUUUUUAUGAACAGGAAAACAUCCGCGCUCAGGAGAAGCACGUGGAGGAAAUGGAAACCCUAUGUGCGAAGCGGGAGCUCCUCUUCUUGGAAAUCGCUGAAAACAAAAGAAAACUUAAUGUACACUUUUAGAUGCAUUUUCGUUGGCUAAAUUACGUGUUUAAUGGGACUUCCUGAGGGAUUCAUGAGUUAAAGUUUGUAGUGUUAAAAAUUCUCAAUAUGUACAUCAAAUUCCAAAGAAUUUACUAAUUAUGUUUCUAAGAUUUUCAUCGUUUUUAUCAGCUUUGUCAUUGAUUUCCUCGUCGUCCGACAGUUUAAAGGGUUUGUCCAUGUCAACAGAAGGUUGGGGCAAAGGGUCCUUUUCCUCCCUGGAUAGGCAUUCACACUCCAAGGGAUAGGACGGGAAACCUCUAUGUGCGACUCGUUAUAACGACUUUGUGCCUCCGUGGUGGGAUUUAUAAGGGGGGUCAUCAUAUAUUUGUUAAGCGAGUAGUUCCAAUUGCUUAGGAGAUAGUGUUCCUCGAACUCGCCGGCUUCC